CAGCCGCCGCGGUAAUACGGAGGGCGCGAGCGUUGUCCGGAUUCACUGGGCGUAAAGCGGGUGUAGGCGGUCGGGUAAGUCGGACGUGAAAGCCCGGGGCUCAACCCCGGAAGGGCGUCCGAAACUGCUCGACUUGAGGGCGGGAGAGGGAGGUGGAAUUCCCGGUGUAGCGGCGAAAUGCGUAGAUAUCGGGAGGAACACCAGUGGCGAAGGCGGCCUCCUGGCCCGCUCCUGACGCUGAGACCCGAAAGCGUGGGGAGCAACCCGGAUUAGAUACCCGGGUAUCCCACGCCGUAAACGGUGGGCACUAGGUGUGGGGGGUUAAUCCCUCCGUGCCGAAGCUAACGCAUUAAGUGCCCCGCCUGGGGAGUACGGCCGCAAGGUUGAAACUUAAAGGAAUUGGCGGG
rnacentral:rRNA from 1 species